rnacentral:miRNA from 1 species
GACGUUGAUAUUCGACGUCAUAAACACCAUCAAGUUUGGUGUUUAUGACGUCGAUAUUCGACGUCAUAAACACCAUCAAGUUUGGUGUUUAUGACGUCGAUAUUCGACGUCAUAAACACGAUCACGUUUGGUGUUUAUGACGUCGAUAUUCGACGUCAUAAACACCACCAAGUUUGGUGUUUAUGACGUCGAUAUUCGACGUCAUAAACACCAUCAAGUUUGGUGUUUAUGACGUCGAUAUUCGACGUC